rnacentral:rRNA from 1 species
AGCAAUACCGCUGACGACCGGCGCACGGGUGAGUAACACGUAUCCAACCUACCAUUCACUCGGGGAUAGCCUUUCGAAAGAAAGAUUAAUACCCGAUAGUAUAGCGAUAAGGCAUCUUAUUGCUAUUAAAGAAUUUCGGUGUUUGAUGGGGAUGCGUUCCAUUAGAUUGUUGGUGAGGUAACGGCUCACCAAGUCUUCGAUGGAUAGGGGUUCUGAGAGGAAGGUCCCCCACAUUGGGACUGAGACACGGUCCAAACUCCUACGGGAGGCAGCAGUGAGGAAUAUUGGUCAAUGGACGAGAGUCUGAACCAGCCAAGUAGCGUGAAGGAUGAAGGCCCUAUGGGUCGUAAACUUCUUUUAUAGGGGAAUAAAGUGCGGAACGUGUUCCGCUUUGUAUGUACCCUACGAAUAAGGAUCGGCUAACUCCGUGCCAGCAGCCGCGGUAAUACGGAGGAUCCGAGCGUUAUCCGGAUUUAUUGGGUUUAAAGGGAGCGUAGGUGGACGUAUAAGUCAGUUGUGAAAGUUUGCGGCUCAACCGUAAAAUUGCAGUUGAUACUGUAUGUCUUGAGUGUACAAGAGGUGGGCGGAAUUCGUGGUGUAGCGGUGAAAUGCUUAGAUAUCACGAAGAACUCCGAUUG